rnacentral:misc_RNA from 1 species
UACAGAGGGGGCGAGCGUUAAUCGGAUUUACUGGGCGUAAAGCGCGCGUAGGCGGCCUUUUAAGUCGGAUGUGAAAUCCCCGAGCUUAACUUGGGAACUGCAUUCGAUACUGGGAAGCUGGAGUAUGAGAGAGGAUGGUAGAAUUCUAGGUGUAGCGGUGAAAUGCGUAGAGAUUUGGAGGAAUACCGAUGGCGAAGGCAGCCAUCUGGCCUAAUACUGACGCUGAGGUACGAAAGCAUGGGGAGCAAACAGG